AAGUCGUAACAAGGUUGAAUUCACCCCGGAAGCCUUGUAGACCCAGUCCGCAUCGAAUGCGGGCAACACCAGUCUGUUGCUUGGCUCUCUCCGCCCCUAAUGCGGAGAUCACCAGCAGCCGCUAAUGUAUAGCGGUCCACAGAUCAAGCACUGGUGGUCGCUAGUCGAUUAUAAUAUGACCGGUCCCCCUUUACGAGGAGGAGGACGUCUACGUUCCGUAGGUGAACCUGCGGAAGGAUCAUUACCGAGUUAGGGUCUUCCAGGCCCGACCUCCAACCCUGUGUCUCAAACUACCAUGUU
rnacentral:misc_RNA from 1 species